GUGUCUUGGCUAAGGUGUCUUGGCUAAGGUGUCUUGGCUAAUGUGUCUUGGCUAAGGUGUCUUGGCUAAGGUGUCUUGGCUAAUGUGUCUUGGCUAAGGUGUCUUGGCUAAGGUGUCUGGGCUAAGGUGUCUUGGCUAAGGUGUCUUGGCUAAGGUGUCUUGGCUAAGGUGUCUUGGCUAAGGUGUCUUGGCUAAGGUGUCUUGGCUAAGGUGUCUUGGCUAAUGUGUCUUGGCUAAGGUUUCUUGGCUAAGGUGUCUUGGCUAAGGUGUCUCGGCUAAUGUGUCUUGGCUAAGGUGUCUUGGCUAAGGUGUCUUGGCUAAGGUGUCUUGGCUAAGGUGUCUCGGCUAAUGUGUCUUGGCUAAAGUGUCUUUGCUAAGGUGUCUUGGCUAAGGUGUCUUGGCUAAUGUGUCUCGGCUAAUGUGUCUUGGCUAAAGUGGCUUGGCUAAUGUGUCUUGGCUAAAGUGUCUUGGCUAAGGUGUCUUGGCUAAUGUGUCUCGGCUUAGGUGUCUUGGCUAAGGUGUCUUGGCUAAGGUGUCUCGGCUAAUGUGUCUUGGCUAAGGUGUCUUGGCUAAGGUGUCUUGGCUAAUGUGUCUCGGCUAAUGUGUCUUGGCUAAUGUGUCUUGGCUAAGGUGUCUUGGCUAAGGUGUCUUGGCUAAUGUGUGUUGACUAAAGUGUCUUGGCUAAUGUGUCUCGGCUAAAGUGUCUUGGCUAAGGUGUCUUGGCUAAGGUGUCUUGGCUAAGGUGUCUUGGCUAAGGUGUCUCGGCUAAUGUGUCUUGGCUAAGGUGUCUUGGCUAAGGUGUCUUGGCUAAGGUGUCUUGGCUAAUGUGUCUCGGCUAAUGUGUCUUGGCUAAAGUGGCUUGGCUAAUGUGUCUUGGCUAAUGUGUCUCGGCUAAGGUGUCUUGGCUAAUGUGUCUUGGCUAAGGUGUCUCGGCUAAUGUGUCUUGGCUAAGGUGUCUUGGCUAAUGUGUCUCGGCUAAAGUGUCUUGGCUAAGGUGUCUUGGAUGAGGUGUCUUGGCUAAGGUGUCUUGGCUAAUGUGUCUCGGCUAAAGUGUCUUGGCUAAGGUGUCUUGGCUAAGGUGUCUUGGCUAAGGUGUCUUGGCUAAUGUGUCUCGGCUAAGGUGUCUUGGCUAAUGUGUCUUGGCUAAGGUGUCUCGGCUAAUGUGUCUUGGCUAAGGUGUCUUGGCUAAUGUGUCUCGGCUAAUGUGUCUUGGCUAAGGUGUCUUGGCUAAGGUGUCUUGGCUAAGGUGUCUUGGCUAAUGUGUCUCGGCUAAUGUGUCUUGGCUAAAGUGGCUUGGCUAAUGUGUCUUGGCUAAGGUGUCUUGGCUAAGGUGUCUUGGCUAAUGUGUCUCGGCUAAGGUGUCUUGGCUAAGGUGUCUUGGCUAAGGUGUCUCGGCUAAUGUGUCUUGGCUAAGGUGUCUUGGCUAAGGUGUCUUGGCUAAUGUGUCUUGGCUAAGGUGUCUCGGCUAAUGUGUCUUGGCUAAGGUGUCUUGGCUAAUGUGUCUCGGCUAAAGUGUCUUGGCUAAGGUGUCUUGGAUGAGGUGUCUUGGCUAAGGUGUCUUGGCUAAUGUGUCUCGGCUAAAGUGUCUUGGCUAAGGUGUCUUGGCUAAGGUGUCUUGGCUAAGGUGUCUUGGCUAAUGUGUCUCGGCUAAGGUGUCUUGGCUAAUGUGUCUUGGCUAAGGUGUCUCGGCUAAUGUGUCUUGGCUAAGGUGUCUUGGCUAAUGUGUCUCGGCUAAUGUGUCUUGGCUAAGGUGUCUUGGCUAAGGUGUCUUGGCUAAGGUGUCUUGGCUAAUGUGUCUCGGCUAAUGUGUCUUGGCUAAAGUGGCUUGGCUAAUGUGUCUUGGCUAAAGUGUCUUGGCUAAGGUGUCUUGGCUAAUGUGUCUCGGCUUAGGUGUCUUGGCUAAGGUGUCUUGGCUAAGGUGUCUCGGCUAAUGUGUCUUGGCUAAGGUGUCUUGGCUAAGGUGUCUUGGCUAAGGUGUCUUGGCUAAUGUGUCUUGGCUAAUGUGUCUCGGCUAAUGUGUCUUGGCUAAAGUGGCUUGGCUAAUGUGUCUUGGCUAAAGUGUCUUGGCUAAGGUGUCUUGGCUAAUGUGUCUCGGCUUAGGUGUCUUGGCUAAGGUGUCUUGGCUAAGGUGUCUCGGCUAAUGUGUCUUGGCUAAGGUGUCUUGGCUAAGGUGUCUUGGCUAAUGUGUCUCGGCUAAUGUGUCUUGGCUAAUGUGUCUUGGCUAAGGUGUCUUGGCUAAGGUGUCUUGGCUAA